GAUGAACGCUGACGGCGUGCCUAAUACAUGCAAGUCGAGCGAACGGACGAUAAGCUUGUUUCUCUGAUGUUAGCGGCGGACGGGUGAGUAACGCGUGGAUCACCUACUUAUAAGACUGGGAUCACUUCGGGAAACCGGAUCUAAUACCAGAUAAUCUUUUGAACCGUAUGGUUCAAAGGUGAAUUACGGUCUUGCUGUCACUUAUAGCUGGAUCCGCGCUGCAUUAGCUAGUUGGUAAGGUAACGGCCUACCAAGGCUACGAUGCAUAGCCGACCUGAGAGGGUGAUCGGCCACACUGGAACUGAGACACGGUCCAGACUCCUACGGGAGGCAGCAGUAGGGAAUCUUCCGCAAUGGGCGAAAGCCUGACGGAGCAACGCCGCGUGAGUGAUGAAGGUCUUCGGAUCGUAAAACUCUGUUAUUAGGGAAGAACAUAUGUGUAAGUAAAUGUGCACAUCUUGACGGUACCUAAUCAGAAAGCCACGGCUAACUACGUG
rnacentral:rRNA from 1 species